UACGAAGGGGGGCUAGCGUUGCUCGGAAUCACUGGGCGUAAAGCGCACGUAGGCGGAUCUUUAAGUCAGGGGUGAAAUCCCAAGGCUCAACCUUGGAACUGCCUUUGAUACUGGGGAUCUUGAGUUCGGGAGAGGUGAGUGGAACUGCGAGUGUAGAGGUGAAAUUCGUAGAUAUUCGCAAGAACACCAGUGGCGAAGGCGGCUCACUGGUCCAUUACUGACGCUGAGGUGCGAAAGCGUGGGGAGCAAACAGGG
rnacentral:rRNA from 1 species